rnacentral:rRNA from 1 species
CGAAAGACUAAGGUUUCCUGGGGCAGGCUCGUCCGCCCAGGGUAAGUCGGGACCUAAGGCAAGGCCGAAAGGCGUAGUCGAUGGACAACAGGUAGAAAUUCCUGUACUGCAUGUCUUCGUUAACAGCGAAGGAGGGACGCAGGAGGCAAAGGACGCAUGGCGCUGGAAGCCAUGUUCAAGCGUUAAGUGUGGUAAUGAGUCAAAUGCUUGUUACUGGUAAGCACAAGGCGUGAUGAGGAGCGAAAUUAAAGUAGCGAAGGUUCAAGCGUCACACUGCCAAGAAAAGCUUCUAGCAAGAAGACAGGCACCCGUACCGCAAACCGACACAGGUAGUCGAGUGGAGAACACUCAGGUGAGCGAGAGAACUCUCGUUAAGGAACUCGGCAAAAUC